AUGGAGAGCGCGCUUCGUCAAGGGUUGACGGAGCCGGAGCGGAGGGAGGUGGAGGGCGUGGUGGAGGAGCACCACACAUUCCCUGGGCGCGCCAGCGGGACGUGCACGUCGCUGGUCACACAGCGCGUGCAGGCGCCUCUCGCCGCCGUGUGGGACAUCGUGCGCGGCUUCGCCAAUCCCCAGCGCUACAAGCACUUCAUCAAGUCCUGUGCUCUCGCCGCCGGCGACGGCGCCACCGUGGGCAGCGUCCGCGAGGUCACCGUCGUCUCCGGCCUCCCCGCCUCCACCAGCACCGAGCGCCUCGAGAUCCUCGACGACGACCGCCACAUCCUCAGCUUCCGCGUCGUCGGCGGCGAGCACCGCCUCCGCAACUACCGCUCCGUCACCUCCGUCACCGAGUUCACGGACCAGCCUUCAGGCCCGCCCUACUGCGUCGUUGUCGAGUCCUACGUCGUCGACGUACCGGAGGGCAACACCGAGGAGGACACCCGCAUGUUCACCGACACCGUGGUCAAGCUCAACCUCCAGAAACUCGCCGCCAUCGCGACCACCACCUCCUCCUCUUCCCCGCCGCCGUCGGAUGAGCAAAGCUGA
rnacentral:rRNA from 1 species